UACGUAGGGGGCAAGCGUUGUCCGGAAUCAUUGGGCGUAAAGAGCGUGUAGGCGGCCCGAUAAGUCCGCUGUGAAAGUCCAGGGCUCAACCCUGGAAUGCCGGUGGAUACUGUCGGGCUAGAGUGCGGAAGAGGCGAGUGGAAUUCCUGGUGUAGCGGUGAAAUGCGCAGAUAUCAGGAGGAACACCAAUUGCGAAGGCAGCUCGCUGGGACGUAACUGACGCUGAGACGCGAAAGCGUGGGGAGCAAACAGG
rnacentral:rRNA from 1 species